rnacentral:tRNA from 1 species
GGACUGUAGCUCAGUGGCAGAGUGCUUACCUAGCAAGUGUGAGGUACUGGGUUCGAUCCUCAGCACCA